rnacentral:SRP_RNA from 1 species
ACCAGGCGUGGUGGCACCUGCCUGUAGUCCCACCUACUCCGGAGGCUGAAGUGGGAGGAUCGCUUGAGUCCAGGAGUUCUGGGCUGCAGUGUGCUAUGCGAUCGGGUGUCCGCACUAAGUUCGGCAUCAAUAUGGUGACCUCCCGGGUGCAGGGGACCACCAGGUUGCCUAAGGAGGGGUGAACUGGCCCAGGUCGGAAAUGGAGCAGGUCAAAACUCCCGUGCUUGGCCGGGCAUAGUGACUCACGCCUGUAAUCCAAGCAUUUUGGAGGCCAAGGCAGGCGGAUCACCUGAAGUCGGGAGUUCAAGAUCAGCCUGACCAACAUGGUGAAACCCCAUCUUCA